rnacentral:rRNA from 1 species
AUACGGAGGGUCCAAGCGUUAUCCGGAAUCAUUGGGUUUAAAGGGUCCGCAGGCGGUCAAUUAAGUCAGAGGUGAAAGCCCAUCGCUCAACGAUGGAACUGCCUUUGAUACUGGUUGACUUGAGUUAUACGGAAGUAGAUAGAAUAAGUAGUGUAGCGGUGAAAUGCAUAGAUAUUACUUAGAAUACCGAUUGCGAAGGCAGUCUACUACGUAUAUACUGACGCUGAGGGACGAAAGCGUGGGGAGCGAACAGGAUUAGAAACCCGGGUAGUCC